rnacentral:rRNA from 1 species
AACGAACGCUGGCGGCAUGCCUAACACAUGCAAGUCGAACGAGACCUUCGGGUCUAGUGGCGCACGGGUGCGUAACGCGUGGGAAUCUGCCCUUGGGUUCGGAAUAACAGCGAGAAAUUGCUGCUAAUACCGGAUGAUGACGUAAGUCCAAAGAUUUAUCGCCCAAGGAUGAGCCCGCGUAGGAUUAGCUAGUUGGUGAGGUAAAGGCUCACCAAGGCGACGAUCCUUAGCUGGUCUGAGAGGAUGAUCAGCCACACUGGGACUGAGACACGGCCCAGACUCCUACGGGAGGCAGCAGUGGGGAAUAUUGGACAAUGGGCGAAAGCCUGAUCCAGCAAUGCCGCGUGAGUGAUGAAGGCCUUAGGGUUGUAAAGCUCUUUCGUGGGGGGAAGAUAAUGACGGUACCCCAAGAAGAAGCCCCGGCUAACUCCGUGCCAGCAGCCGCGGUAAU